AUUGAACGCUGGCGGCAGGCUUAACACAUGCAAGUCGAACGGACUACUUCGGUAGUUAGUGGCGAACGGGUGAGUAAUGCCUAGGAAUCUGCCGUUUAGUGGGGGAUAACGUUCCGAAAGGAACGCUAAUACCGCAUACGUCCUACGGGAGAAAGAGGGGGAUCUUCGGACCUCUUGCUAAACGAUGAGCCUAGGUCAGAUUAGCUAGUUGGUGAGGUAAAGGCUCACCAAGGCGACGAUCUGUAGCGGGUCUGAGAGGAUGAUCCGCCACACUGGAACUGAGACACGGUCCAGACUCCUACGGGAGGCAGCAGUGGGGAAUAUUGGACAAUGGGGGCAACCCUGAUCCAGCCAUGCCGCGUGUGUGAAGAAGGCCUUUUGGUUGUAAAGCACUUUAAGCGAGGAGGAGGGUACUCUAGCUAAUACCUAGAUGUAUCGGACGUUACUCGCAGAAUAAGCACCGGCUAACUCUGUGCCAGCAGCCGCCGUAA
rnacentral:rRNA from 1 species